GUUUAAAUGGGAAGGUGGCUUCAACCAGGACACAUGUAGCAGUGUGUAGCUGUGGUGACAGAUUAAAAAUUAGCUAUUGUGAAGUUUCCCGCAUGGACAGGAGCUUGGAAUUAAUGAUUACCAUAAAUUAACUAACUGGAAAGGGGUUGAACAGCAAGUGGUAGAGUUCAGCUUGACCCACUGGUGAGCUGACCCUUUUCCCAUUCAUUUAAUGCUCAAAUCUCAUUUCUGGCCAGAGCAGCUCCUGGGUGCAGCUCUGGGUGGCUGUGCCAGCCCAGCUGGGCUGCCUGGCCACUGUGGAGGAUGAGAAGAGGUUCAGUCCCUGCUCCCUGGGUCAGACCUAGCAGAGAGAGCUGCUCCAGCAGAUGGACAAUGCUCCAGCCCCAGAUCUUUGGAAAAUAUACAGGAGGCAAGGCUGAGUGUUAUCAGGCUCCAGCUGCUCUCUUUGCAAGGAGUGUCUUCAGCAGGAAUUCACCACCUUCCCUUCCAAAAUCCUUUCAGGAACAUCACAGCUCCUGGUGUUGCACAGAGUUGCUGGUAAUCCUGUUAACCUUGGGGUUAAUUAAGCAAACAGAGACCCUUCAUUAGGAGGACUGGCACUAAUUGCAUGUCUGAGAGGGUGAGUUUUGCAUGGACUGCUGGCUGGUGGAGCAGAAGCCACUGCUGACUUCAGCAAGGGGGCUGGGGAGUUAAUGGGGGCCUGCUUGGGAAAGGAGGUCAGGAAAACCUGUUUCCUCAGCACUGCUGGGCCAGCUGGUGUUUGCUGGAGAGGGGGAUGUGCACGGGAGGAUGUGGGGCAGUGGCACUGUCCUGCAGAGCUCCCAUGCAAGGCACAGAGGGUUGAGUUGCUGGCACCUGGCUGUUCAGCUGCCAUUAGUUUCCAACCUAAAAAUGCAAAUCUAUAUUGGUAUGACCUGGUAAGCAGCUCUGGACAAGAAGCCUCAGUCUGCAGCUGAGCUUAGCACUCCAAGCUUGGAAGAGCAGCUUAAAAUCGACAGAGAGCUCUUUGUUUGCUGUGUGCAGUUUAGAAAUUAGGCAAUACUUAGAAGCAAUACUUAGGAGCAAAUAUUGGUUCAAACAACACCAGCUCCAACUCUCCAGUGGCUAGUUUGGCUCAGCCCAGGUAGAAAACAACAUUUUGCAACAUAGUCAAAACCUGAUACUGAAUAUUUCUCCUAACCAGCAGGGAAACAGGUUUGUGGCAUUUCCUUAAAAAUAAACUAAGCCCAGUGACUCUGCA
rnacentral:lncRNA from 1 species